ensembl:lncRNA
GAAACAGACCUCCAAGACCAUCCAAUUGAAAGGAAUUACUGAGUCCCUAAUGGGAGCAUUUAAAACCAGUGCUUAUGAUAAUGCCCUUGUUCCCAUGGACACCACAGUGCUGCAGAACCAAGAUUAAUGGAGGACCAUUGAGACUGGUCCUAAAAGAUUGUCCCUCUUGUGUAUUAUGGUCUGUCAUGCUGCAUCCAUUAGCAGAGGAGCGGAGGGUCCUCAUCGUGUUGGUAUCACUGGGACCAAAUCGAGCUACUGCAAGAUGGCAUUUCCAUAGCACAUCAACAGAUCAUUUCACCACUGCUUAAGGCAUCGUAAAUUGGACUUAUAGCUCAGCUGCUGGCAUAAAUAAGUCCCUUUGAUAGUUAGUGGAAGACGUUAUGACACUCCAGGGUACAGGAGGGGACAUUGGCACUGUCAUUUUUUUUCUCCAGCCCUGGCACCCUGGUGCCUCUGAUCUUUCUGAAGAUUCAGGGCACGCGCUCUUCAUUACGGUUUGGGCACCAGGGACUUGUUUUUUUUGCAAGAUUAAUGAGCGCCACGGAAAUUCUCCAGCGCAUCUCGAUAAUUAAGUCUUUGUUUAUCAAAAAACAAGUUAUAUUAGGAGCAGAAAAUUCGCAGUAAUUAUUCAUAAUUCUAACAAUUCAAGUAUAGCUACCUCAUUUGCCUGGGUAAUUCUGCUUUUUAAUUUCUUGCAUACAUUUGCAUAUUAAUUUUGCCCGUCGGCUGCAGCAGGCUUUGACAGUUUGUUACUAUGUGAUGGUUUUCACAGGGGUGCGACUCAGUUGGGUGGCAUUUCGACUGGGUGCAAUGAUAAAUUAUGAAUUUUCUAAUUUGCUGCAUAAUGAAGUAACCCCUUCCAACCCAAUUAAAAAAAAAAAAAAGGGGGAAGAUUUUGUCUUUUAAAUAAUAUUUCCCAGGUAUUUCAUCUCUCCGUUUUUGUUGUUGUUUUGCAAGCAUGUUUUUUCACUUAAAAAGCAGAUGACUGCAUUUGCAGCCUUUCAGAAUGACUGUGCCUUUCCAUACAUCAAACAUGAUUCAUGAUUCAUAUAUCCCUAGACUAUAUUCAUGCUGUAAAUUGGCCACUCCUCAAGCCUCAGGGCAAUCACGGAUGAUAGCAAAGAAGUCCCAGUUUCUUCUCUGAUGUCCAAUUUGGGCUGUAGUGAUCUGUGUGUAUGAGUCUGUCUGUCUGUGUGUCGGGGAGCAGGGAUUUCAAAUGAGGGAAAUAAAUGAUGUGUGUUUGUUUUACAUACUUACUCAAGAGGCUGUACUGUUGUAAAUUAACUGCUAAACUACUGUGUGGGUUUCCUUCUAAUUUCUUAAAAUGGUUGUAGAAAUAAAUGUAUAUGUAUUUAUUACUUCAGCAUUGUAAAAGGGGAUCUGUGGAGACUUAAUCUGUGGGUGAGAGAUAAGGGAUUUUAGUUCACUGUUGGUAAGUGUGUUCAGUACGUUUGGUAAUUUUAUGCUCAUAAUGCAGCACUUAGAAAAGCAGAAGUAUUGCUGGGUAAAAUUUGUGGUGUUUCAUUAUACAACUGCAGACGGGCAAAACAGUUUAGAAAUACUGUAGGCCUGAUGCCAUCCCGACUUUAAAGAAUCUGAAAUAACCCAGCCAAUCUGUUUAGCAUGAUGCAAAUACUGUAAUUAUACAAUUAUGCUGCAUUUUUAAUAUAGAACAAUUCCUAUACAUUUUGUUGUCUCUUAAAAUUCUGCGUUAUUAAGAAACCAAGCCAUGAUUUUAUCGGAGGCUACACCACAACCACACGGCAGUAGAUCAUGGAGGAUUUUGACAUUAAUACCCUACAAUCAAGCCGCGGAGAGCACACGGCACUAAUGCAAACCAACCACAAAGUGCAGAUUACAUAAGAUUAAUUCUGCACGUCCCCGUAAUGCAAGCGCGGAGACUCUGUGCUACCAUCACCCAGCCUGGCAGUGCAGCACACGAGGCCCCGACACUGCCUUGCACCGGUACUGCAGCAUUAUAUCAACAUUAUUAUAAUAUAUAGCACAGAAUGUACGCCUGGCACAACUGGGCAGUGCAGAACACAGUGAUAUUAUAGGGUAAUCACACAGCUAACAAUCAUGCCUACAGAACAGAACAACCUGCAGUAAUGCUGAGCACAAUGCGGCGUUGCCAUAGCCUAUAUUAGAACAGUUCAGCACAGCCAUGAAGUAUGGUGGCAUGUUGCAUGUUUAUACGUAUAAGCGGAAGCAGCUGUGCUCAGGUGGCAGCUCCAUGGAUGCUGGCAUGGCUGUCCACAGCUGUACAUGCCUCAGACAAGUGUGGGCACCUAGGACCAGUGCACCUCAGUGUAACACAGCUUGUGCUCUUAUGGAGCAAAACGUGGACCCGAGCCCCAAGUCUGUAACAAAACUGGAAUAAAUGUGUGACAUAUGCAC